UUUCCGUAGGUGAACCUGCGGAAGGAUCAUUAUCAAAAGUCAAGUCGGGGGCUGUAAAGCUCUCGUCUACACCCAUGUCUUUUGCGUACUCUUGUUUCCUCGGUGGCGCAAGCUGCCGAUUGGACAAACUUAUAACCUUUUUAAUUUUUCAAUCAGCGUCUGAAUAACUAUAAUAAUUACAACUUUCAACAACGGAUCUCUUGGUUCUG
rnacentral:misc_RNA from 1 species